GUUCAUGUUUUCUUCUUUUCUCUUUUCAGUUAUCAUAAUAGAAAAUGACAACAGCAGCAACGCUAACAAAGUGAGAUUUCACAGAUACAUUUUUACGUCUUUUAAGGUUAGAUAUUUUUAAUCAAAAGAGCACAGCGAAAUCCUUUAUUAAGAAAGAGUCUUCACUGUAGAGAAGUCAGUGAUCGCAUGGUGAAACCAGGUGCUUGGGUAGCAAAGGACUCCAAGAAUAGUUAAAAUACCUUUUAUGAAGUCAACUGCUUACAUUUACAAGUUGAUCAUGAAAACAUCAGUAAGACACAAAAACAUUUCCGAUGCUCUCGGCAUGAAGAAUUGGUAUCUGGAGAGUAGCAAGUUAUAAUAGUAAGGUUUCUGCAAAAGAUUAAAUAGUAUAAAGAAUAUUAGUAUGCCUUCAACUGGCAGAAAUAGGACUGGGCACGUGGAAAAAGGUCAGAAAUAAGAGAAGAUGCAGAUUUGCUCAAAGGCUGCUACCCAGCACUCCCAUGCCCACCCCAUUCCUAAGCUCUUCCCCAAGCAUACUCUUCAUAUGCAUUGGUGAGGGGCCAGGUCCCUGGAGGUCCCAGAGACACAAAGUUAAGGGUAGGGAAAAGUUCAGCCCCACACUCCCAUCCACUUUGUAGGGCUUUCUCCCUCCAGUCUGGGGGUCCCUGACUCAGAACACAUCAUACACUUUUAUUUCAGAAUUUAUGGCGUCCAUUUUGUGUACUUUUUGGCUCUUCCAUUCUGCUUCUGGCAGUAACUGUUUUCUCGCUCCAGGGAGUCUUUGAUCGUCUUCAGUCAUGAAGAUUUGCAUUGUUUUGUCCUUUGUCACUUUCCCUCUUCCUCAAAAAGAAACCCAGUAAAUGCUCAAGGUCUGAGCUCAGAAGGACGCGCUGGGAAUGAGAAGGUGCUGUGAUAAUUCUGGUUAUCCAGAUUUUUCAGAGAGGUCCCUUUUCCUGCUUGGAAGCUGUGGGCUCUGUCCUCUGGGUUCUCAGUACUCAGUUCAACCACCUUCUCCUCCAUCCCUCUCCGUGAGUGACCAUGGUCAGGGGCCUGUGGAGUGGGCCAGGGUGGGUGGGGCUGGGGCAGGUGAACAUAGAACAUUCAGGAUCUGGCUGUUCCCUUUGGCUCCCUGAGCAGAACUCCCUGGGCCUCCCUGUCAUAGCAGCUCAGCCCAACCCUGGCACUUGCUCUUCUUUUUUUUUUUUUUUGAGACAGAGUCUCGUUCUGUUGCCCAGGCUGGAGUGCAGUGGCACAAUCUCAGCUCACUGCAGCCUCCGCCUCCUGGUUCAAGCAAUUCUCCUGUGUCAGCCUCCUGAGUAGCUGGGAUUACAGGCACAUGCCACAAUGUCUGGUUAAUUUUUGUAUUUUUUGUAGAGACAGGGUUUCACCAUGUUGGCCAGGCUGGUCUUGAACUCCUGUCCCUGCCCGCCUCGGCCUCCCAAAGUGCCGGGAUUACGGGUGUGAGUCACUGCACCCAGCCUAAGUUGCUCUUUUGAAUCACCUAAUUGCUUGUAGAGGAGCAAUGGAGGGGCACACAGAGGGGUAAGCACAGAGAACAUUCCAGAAAAUGCAGGACCCUUUCUCUGAGGCACAGCUAUGUAACAGGCAACCCCACCCAGGGAGAAGCCAGUACAGAGGCCCCAGCUAGAGUCUGAAUGAGGACGAUCCCUCUCCCCUGUCCUGGGGAGCCUGGGGUCACCUUGCAGAACAAGAUGGUCCCAGGACUCUGACUCUGCACUUCUGGCUGUAGUGAGCCUCUUUCUACGUGUGGGUGCUUCUGCUGGGCUCCUGGGUGUUGUUAUUUACCACCAGCAAGCGAUCAUCAAAUCAUGUCUAUGUUUUAAACUUAACUAGCUGUCUCAUCUGGUCCCAUGUUCCUGGAAUGUAGUUUCAAGGAUCCCCAAUCUGCCCUCUGAAGGCCUUGCCCCGUCAUGCCUCUAGGGGCAGGAGGCCCAUACUUCCAUGUCUUCUGACUCAGCUUGACCACAACAUGGGAUAUUUGAAAUCAGGGCUGCUGGGGAGAAAUUCCAGAAGGACGGCCGCCGCCCCUGGUCAAAACUCCUGGUUCUAGAACACAGGAGAAGCCAAAGGCCGACAGCAAGUCAGAGCUACGUGCCAAGCCUCACCCCAUGGUGGUGCAGGGUGUGCCGUCCUCAGAAGGUGAAGGCAUACACCACGCCCACCACCACGAUGUUCCCCAGCGUAGCUAUGAUGGCAAUCCAUAGCAAGACGGCGUCGUUGGAGGACCGAGGAGGAUCUUCCGGCUGGCCCUGGCCAUUGGCAGCCGCGUGGACAUUGGCAGAGGAGUUAAACAGGGAGUACUCGGUGCUGAAGUCCUCGUUGGGCGAGUCCAUGAAAGCUCCCCCCAUCAUGGGCAG
rnacentral:lncRNA from 1 species